UUCCAAAGAAGGACAAGCCCCUCCAAAGACAGGAAGCAUGAGGGCAGGCUCAUCAGUGUCAGAGCAGGGGAGACCAGCACAGACACCUUACAAGCAGAUAAGAAAACGGAGGAUCCCAGAGAUUUGACAACCUGCCCACAGCAAUGACCAAAUCAGACUUGGUGCUAGGUCUGCAUCUCCCCAAAGCCAGCGUGUUCGUGCGCUCUGCUGCCACUGCUACCCGCUGUCCCCGCACAUGAUGUGAACUGCCAGGCUGACCUGGAGUUCUGUCUCCUGCGUGGGCUGCUUGCCAACACCAGGGUGGCUGGCCCCUGCCUGUGUCCGGUGCUGCAGUGUUGACUCUCUUCGUGUGACGUUGAGCAGGUGGAGCUGGUUGUGCUGAGCCUGAGAAAACAUCCAAUGUGCCAAACUUUCUUGUGUGUUUCCCUCUGCUGGUUAUUUAGUAUAAGCCCAGGAGAAGAGCAAAUCCUGCCCCAAACAGAUGAUCCUCUUGAAGAGAGUGGUUAUGGUGAUGAUGCCAGCGUGCAGCGGGGAGACUCAGCCUUUCAAGGUUCUUCCAGCACUUUGCUUCCCACAUUGCAUAAUGCUUGAUGGCUACAGCUCUGCUGACUGUUUGGGAAAAAGAUAACACUCAUCUCUAAAAGAUGUCCCUUUUAGAGACACUUUACUCAGUCCCUCCCGCGAUGCCUAUUAAGUAGAGAAAAUAGUGAAAUUAACCCGAUAUGCUCAUCACUCAGUUUUGGCCAUUAUCAACUAAUGGCCACUCUAGUUUCCACUGGGGCCCCAUGUACUCCGCCCAUUCCCUGGUUAUUUAGGUGCUAAUCCCAACAUCGUAUCCUUUUGAUGCAUUCCAAAGCAAAAAUAUUGAUUCCUAAGCUACCCUUGUGAAUUUUCUGAUUCAGGAGGUCAGGAAUGGGGCCUGAGAAUCUACACAUAUUUUCGAUUCUCCAGGUCUGGGAACCUACAGUAUAAAGGAAUGAGCAUGGACUUUACAGAAAGAAAGUGGCUUUGCCCAAGUUUUGUAACUUUGGAUUAAAACGUUAAGUUUUUGGACCCUUGACCUCUUUGUCUUGAAGGAUCACCAACUUCGUGAACUUGUGGUCCACUAAGACCCUCCAACAUUUUUCACAUUAAAUAAAUGCUAUCAAUCCUG